rnacentral:rRNA from 1 species
CUCCUAAAUAAAAUUAUCUUAGGUAGGGCCUGCUCAGUGGCUUAGCGCUAAAUAGCCGCAGUACUCUAACUGUGCUAAGGUAGCAUAAUCACUUGCUACUUAAUUGGUAGCUAGGAUAAAUGGCUUGACGAGACAUUGACUAUCCUGUACAAACGAAUAAAUUUGAGCUAAAAGUUAAAACCCUUUUAUUCCCUAGAGGGACGACAAGACCCUAGGAUCUAGUAAAUUAAUAUGCAUGUCACUGGGGCGGUGUUAUCUACACUCAAAUAAUACUACCACAUAUUGAAUGGCUCCCACUAACUUAAAAAACUCAAACAGGUACCCUAGGGAUAACAGCGCAAUCUUUCCAUAGAGCUCCUAUCGACGGGAAGGAUUACGACCUCGAUGUUGAAUUGAAAAUUCUUUUUAAAGCAACCAUUAAAAAGGAAGGUCUGUUCGACCUUUAAAAUUUC